rnacentral:rRNA from 1 species
CCGAAAGGGAGAUUAAUACCGCAUAACAUUAUUUUAUGGCAUCAUAGAAUAAUCAAAGGAGCAAUCCGCUUUGAGAUGGACCCGCGGCGCAGUAGCUAGUUGGUGAGGUAAGGGCUCACCAAGGCGACGAUGCGUAGCCGACCUGAGAGGGUGAUCGGCCACAUUGGAACUGAGACACGGUCCAGACUCCUACGGGAGGCAGCAGUGGGGAAUAUUGCGCAAUGGGGGAAACCCUGACGCAGCAACGCCGCGUGAGUGAUGAAGGUUUUCGGAUCGUAAAACUCUGUCUUUAGGGACGAUAAUGACGGUACCUAAGGAGGAAGCCACGGCUAACUACGUGCCAGCAGCCGCGGUAAUACGUAGGUGGCAAGCGUUGUCCGGAUUUACUGGGCGUAAAGAGUAUGUAGGUGGGUGCUUAAGUCAGAUGUGAAAUUCCCGGGCUUAACCUGGGCGCUGCAUUUGAAACUGGGCAUCUAGAGUGCAGGAGAGGAAAGUGGAAUUCCUAGUGUAGCGGUGAAAUGCGUAGAGAUUAGGAAGAACACCAGUGGC